AUGCGUCUUGCGAAGCAAAUAGAGCCGGUGGCGGUGAAGGUGGAGAGAAAAAGGGCAAGAGCAAAAGCAGCAGCUAUGGUGUUCUCCUUUUCACGAUUUUUUACGCUUUGGACAGAAGGUGCAGGUUUUUUGGUGAUGAAUCUAUGCAAGAACUGUGAUGCCUUUGGUGUUCAAUUUUUCUGUUUUGCUUUCUUUCCAAAUUUUGGUGCUAAUAAAGCAAAACAGGUUGAAGAUUGGUGGAGUUUUGUAGAAGAAAGCAUGGUUUAG